CAAAAGGAAGGGAGGAGGGCUUAUGCUUAAAGAGCCCUCCAGGCAAAUAAACAAGGCUGUUUUCUGAAACAGAACCCUGGCACCCCACCCUUUGUCUUGCAUUGCAUCAGGGGACAAGGGAAUAUCUAAUAGUUAUGGGAAAUGCUGAUGCCAAACCAACUGUUCUGAAGUGCAUAAUUAAAAAUUUUGAUACAGAUUUUGUGGGGGACUAUAAGAUAAAACUGCAACCAAAGAUGCUUAAAAACUUUGUGAGUUAUCAUGGUCUCAGCUAAGCCAGACUUGGCCCCAAAGGAAAAAAAAAAAAAAACCUAGACAAAAGAAAAGUUAUCUGCCUUUGUUUUACUUACCUGAGACUUUGAUAAUGUGGAGCCUCUUGUGCUCUAGGAGCUACUCAAGCUUUUCUGCUCUGUGGUAAUCAGCUGCUAGUAAGAACUAUUUAGUUUUGUUUGUAAAACACCUGCUUGCUAAAUCUGCCAUUUUCCUGUGGUAAACUUGUCUCUCAGAAAAUGUGACAUCGUUACAGGCAAAUCCCAGUGUUUCCCCUUUGGAGGAGGUCGAGAUGUCUCCCCUCCACUUGAGUUGCUAAGAUAGAAGGUAUGAAGGAGCUAUCAAGGUAGCUGAAACUCAGCUACACCACUCUAGAGUAAAACAGAAUUCCAGGGAAUCCGACUCUAGGAGGCCAAGAGACAACGCACUCAAAGCCCUGCUCUCACCACACCGGAAGCUGGUGAGUCUACGCACGGCUGAAGAAGGAGAACUACAAUCUAGAUAUAGACUCUUAUAUUGUGUCAUACUGUUAAGAGAUGCCUUUACAAAUUGCUGUGACCCCUUAGCUAAAAAUUUAAACAAUGAAUCAAGGAUUUGAUUCUACCUAAAAUCAGUGGGGAUUGUAAGACUUGAAUAGGCUAAAGUGACUCCAUGCUAAUAGGCCAGACUGUGCUUCUUCAUAUGCUAAUUGCUACCUUGGUUAACAGCCCGCCCGGGGGCAAAUGGUUUGACAAAAGGUGACCCUAGAACAUUUCCUGCAUAAGAUAAGCAAUGUGUUUGCAGUCUUGUUCUGUGAAUUCCCUGACUCUUUGUUUAGAAAAACCUUAUAAAAAGUACCUCAGCCCCUGAGCAGUUGCCUCUCUGAGCCACCUGGCUCCGGGAGUGCCGUCUGGCCAGACUAAUAAAGGUCUCUUUGCCAUCUAGCCUGGUGUGUUCCUUCCUGGGUUUCUCGGUUCUCUGUCGUGUUCCCGGAGCCUCGCUGGGUGUUAGGGCCCAGCAUCGUGGAGGCCUUUCGGCUGUUCACGCUCCGUGGAGUGGAAG
rnacentral:lncRNA from 1 species